UACGAAGGGGGCUAGCGUUGCUCGGAAUCACUGGGCGUAAAGCGCACGUAGGCGGAUUGUUAAGUCAGGGGUGAAAUCCUGGAGCUCAACUCCAGAACUGCCUUUGAUACUGGCGAUCUUGAGUCCGGGAGAGGUGAGUGGAACUGCGAGUGUAGAGGUGAAAUGCGCAGAUAUCGGGAAGAACACCCGUGGCGAAGGCGGCACUCUGGGACGGUACUGACGCUGAGACGCGAAAGCGUGGGGAGCGAACAGG
rnacentral:rRNA from 1 species